GAUCCUGGCUCAGGAUGAACGCUGGCGGCGUGCCUAACACAUGCAAGUCGAACGAAGCGACUCGAAGUUUUCGGACAGAGAGUUGACUGAGUGGCGGACGGGUGAGUAACGCGUGGGUAACCUGCCUCAUACAGGGGGAUAACAGUUAGAAAUGACUGCUAAUACCGCAUAAGCGCACAGCAUCGCAUGAUGCAGUGUGAAAAGCCGAGACGGUAUGAGAUGGACCCGCGUCUGAUUAGCUAGUUGGUGGGGUAACGGCCCACCAAGGCGACGAUCAGUAGCCGACCUGAGAGGGUGACCGGCCACAUUGGGACUGAGACACGGCCCAAACUCCUACGGGAGGCAGCAGUGGGGAAUAUUGCACAAUGGGGGAAACCCUGAUGCAGCGACGCCGCGUGAGUGAAGAAGUAUUUCGGUAUGUAAAGCUCUAUCAGCAGGGAAGAAAAUGACGGUACCUGACUAAGAAGCCCCGGCUAACUACGUG
rnacentral:rRNA from 1 species